AACCUGCCCAAGAGAUCGGGAUAACACCUGGAAACAGAUGCUAAUACCGGAUAACAACAGAUGAUGCCUAUCAACUGUUUAAAAGAUGGUUCUGCUAUCACUCUUGGAUGGACCUGCGGUGCAUUAGCUAGUUGGUAGGGUAACGGCCUACCAAGGCGAUGAUGCAUAGCCGAGUUGAGAGACUGAUCGGCCAUAUUGGGACUGAGACACGGCCCAAACUCCUACGGGAGGCAGCAGGG
rnacentral:rRNA from 1 species